UACGUAGGGUGCGAGCGUUAAUCGGAAUUACUGGGCGUAAAGCGUGCGCAGGCGGUUAUUUAAGUCAGGGGUGAAAGCCCUGGGCUUAACCUAGGAAUUGCGCUUGAGACUGGAUAGCUUGGAGUGCGGCAGAGGGAGGUGGAAUUCCACGUGUAGCAGUGAAAUGCGUAGAGAUGUGGAGGAACACCGAUGGCGAAGGCAGCCUCCUGGGCCAGCACUGACGCUCAUGCACGAAAGCGUGGGGAUCAAACAGG
rnacentral:rRNA from 1 species